rnacentral:rRNA from 1 species
AUACGUAGGUGACAAGCGUUAUCCGGAUUUACUGGGCGUAAAGGGCGUGUAGGCGGUCUUGCAAGUCAGAAGUGAAAUUCCUGAGCUCAACUCGGGCGCUGCUUCUGAAACUGCAGGACUUGAGUGCUGGAGGGGAUAGCGGAAUUCCUAGUGGAGCGGUAAAAUGCGCAGAUAUUAGGAAGAACACCGGUGGCGAAGGCGGCUAUCUGGACAGUAACUGACGCUGAGGCGCGAAAGCGUGGGGAGCAAACAGGAUUAGGUACCCUGGUAGUCCACACUGUAAACGAUGAAUGCUAGGUGUAGGAGGUAUCGACCCCUUCUGUGCCGCAGUAAACACAGUAAGCAUUCCGCCUGGGGAGUACGGUCGCAAGAUUAAAACUCAAAUGAAUUGACGGGG